GGUGAGAUGGCUCAGUGGUUAAGAGCACUGACUGCUCUUCCAGAGGCCCUGAGUUCAAUUCCCAGCAACCUCA
rnacentral:tRNA from 1 species